rnacentral:rRNA from 1 species
CAGUCGCCACGGUAAUACGAAGGGUGCAAGCGUUACUCGGAAUUACUGGGCGUAAAGCGUGCGUAGGCGGUUGGUUAAGUCUGCUGUGAAAGCCCUGGGCUCAACCUGGGAACUGCAGUGGAAACUGGCCAGCUAGAGUGUGUCAGAGGAUGGUGGAAUUCCCGGUGUAGCGGUGAAAUGCGUAGAUAUUAGGAAGAACACCAGUGGCGAAGGCGACUUUCUGGACGAAAACUGACGCUGAGGCGCGAAAGCCAGGGGAGCGAACGGGAUUAGAUACCCGCGUAGUCCCUGUCUCUUAUAC